GACGAACGCUGGCGGCGUGCCUAAUACAUGCAAGUCGAGCGCAGGAAGCUCACGGAACUCUUCGGAGGGAAGUGAAGGGAAUGAGCGGCGGACGGGUGAGUAACACGUAAGGAACCUGCCCCAAGGAUUGGGAUAACUCCGAGAAAUCGGAGCUAAUACCGAAUAGUUCUUCAGACCGCAUGGUCUGAUGAUGAAAGGCGCUUCGGCGUCACCUUGGGAUGGCCUUGCGGUGCAUUAGCUAGUUGGUGGGGUAAUGGCCCACCAAGGCGACGAUGCAUAGCCGACCUGAGAGGGUGAUCGGCCACACUGGGACUGAGACACGGCCCAGACUCCUACGGGAGGCAGCAGUAGGGAAUCUUCCACAAUGGACGAAAGUCUGAUGGAGCAACGCCGCGUGAGUGAUGAAGGUUUUCGGAUCGUAAAACUCUGUUGUAAGGGAAGAACAGGUAUGAGAGGUAAUGCUCAUGCUAUGACGGUACCUUGCGAGAAAGCCACGGCUAACUACGUGCCAGCCGCCGCCGUAAUAC
rnacentral:rRNA from 1 species